AACGCAAAUUGCACUCUCCGGUUUUCCGGGAGAGUAUGCCUGUUUGAGGGUCAGCCUAAAAAAAAUCGACAUUGUUGCUUGUUUUAUGGUGACUUUCGUCGGAGGUUGGGUUAUCUUAAACCCUUUAGGUUUAAGCGACUUAAAAUUUUUUUUUACGAUUCCAAGAACGUAUUCUAAGAUUUAUUUCUUACACGUUUAUUAAGGUAUCGAUCAUAUUAGACGUGGCCGUCAUAUCGGAUCGUGUCUAUAAUUUUUUUCGUUAACUGACCUCAGACAGGUAAGAGUACCCGCUGAACUUAA
rnacentral:misc_RNA from 1 species